CUCGGUUAAACUGCUGAGUUUCGUCAGUGCUGCUGUUACCAAGAAGAAAUGAAUUUUGGCAACUGUUUCAAUACAAACUUUCCAGUUUUGACUGCCAGUGCAGUUUUCCUCACAGUUCUGCCACAAUCGCAAGCUUGUGUUCAAAUCCAACAUUUUUAAAUCUUUUCGUCAACGUAUUUUUAACGUAUAAAGCCAAAGUCACUACCAG